CACGAGUUUGAUCAUGGCUCAGGAUGAACGCUAGCGGCAGGCUUAACACAUGCAAGUCGAGGGGUAGGUUACUUCGGUAAUUGAGACCGGCGCACGGGUGCGUAACGCGUAUACAAUCUACCUUUACAGAGGGAUAGCCCAGAGAAUUUGGAUUAAUACCUCAUAGUAUUUUUGAAUCGCAUGAUUUGAUUAUUAAAGUUCCAACGGUAAAAGAUGAGUAUGCGUCCCAUUAGCUAGAUGGUAAGGUAACGGCUUACCAUGGCUACGAUGGGUAGGGGUCCUGAGAGGGAGAUCCCCCACACUGGUACUGAGACACGGACCAGACUCCUACGGGAGGCAGCAGUGAGGAAUAUUGGUCAAUGGACGCAAGUCUGAACCAGCCAUGCCGCGUGCAGGAUGACGGUCCUAUGGAUUGUAAACUGCUUUUGUACGAGAAGAAACAACAUUACGUGUAAUGUCUUGACGGUAUCGUAAGAAUAAGGAUCGGCUAACUCCGUG
rnacentral:rRNA from 1 species